ACUAAGGUAAACUUCCAACAGUGAUUGGACCAUCAAAAUAAACCACUACGUCAAACAUUCAAUUUUACUACGGGUCCCAAGUCCUGUACACACUAAAGAGAACUGUAUCCACGAGGAAGUAACGGCGACGGUAUACGGUCUCGGCUGUUACUUGAGGACCUACUGUCACCUUCGGUACAACAACAAAACAAACAAGGGUCGGGACUGAUACCAGAAGCUCGCUCAGGCCGUACAACAAGUAGACUGAUACAAGUAGGUCGCUCAGGUCAUACAAGUACUGUCCUCGUCCAUCAAACACUAGUGUACCUUCCUCGAACAUUUCGUCAUGACAUAAUGUACAUCUCGAACAAUGUGAACAUCUCGAACAUUUCGUCAUACCAGGAGACAUAACCUUGCCUAUCUCGAACAUAAUACACUAGACCAACGAGAAUAAAUUCAUAGUACACACAAAAACAGAGACGG
rnacentral:rRNA from 1 species